rnacentral:rRNA from 1 species
UACGCAGGCAGCGAGCGUUGUUCGGAAUUACUGGGCGUAAAGAGUGUGUAGGCGGUGUUCCCAGUCUGUUGUGAAAUCUCCCGGCUUAACUGGGAGGGUGCAGCGGAAACUAGAAUGCUAGAGGGUGGGAGAGGUAAGCGGAAUUCCUGGUGUAGCGGUGAAAUGCGUAGAUAUCAGGAGGAACACCUGUGGUGUAGACAGCUUACUGGACCACUUCUGACGCUGAGACACGAAAGCGUGGGUAGCAAACAGG